AAGCCAUGCAAGUCUAAGUACGAGCUCUCGUACAGUGAAACUGCGAAUGGCUCAUUAAAUCAGUUAUGGUUCAUUUGAUCGUACAGUUUACUUGGAUAACUGUGGUAAUUCUAGAGCUAAUACAUGCGAGAAGCGCCGACCUCGCGGGAGGCGUGCAUUUAUCAGACCAAAAACCGGCCGCGUCUUCGGGCGCGUUCGCCUUGGUGACUCUGGAUAACUUUGCGGAUCGCACGGUCUAGCACCGGCGACGGAUCAUUCAAGUGUCUGCCCUAUCAACUUUCGUCGGUACGGUAUUUGCCUACCGAGGUUCUUACGGGUGACGGGGAAUCAGGGUUCGAUUCCGGAGAGGGAGCCUGAGAAACGGCUACCACAUCCAAGGAAGGCAGCAGGCGCGCAAAUUACCCAUUCCCGACGCGGGGAGGUAGUGACGAAAAAUAACAAUGCAGGACUCGUUCGAGGCCCUGUAAUUGGAAUGAGUACACUUUAAAAGCUUUAACGAGUAUCCAUUGGAGGGCAAGUCUGGUGCCAGCAGCCGCGGUAAUUCCAGCUCCAAAAGUAUAUAUUUAAGUUGUUGCGGUUAAAAAGCUCGUAGUUGGAUUUUGGGCGCAGGCGGCCGGUCCGUCGCAAGGCGUGUACUGGACGUCCUGGCCUUCCCUCCGGUUCUCCGCCGGUGCUCUUGACUGAGUGUCGGCGGCGGGCGGGACGUUUACUUUGAAAAAA
rnacentral:ncRNA from 1 species